GGACCAUAGAGAGGUUGGGAGGACCAUAGAGAGGUUGGGAGGACCAUUGACAUGUUGACCAUGGAGACGUUGGGAUGACCAUAGAGACGUUGGGAGGACCAUAAAGACAAUAGGAGGACCGUAGAGACGUCGACCAUCGAGAUGUUGACCAUAGAGACGUUGGGUUGACCAUAGAGACCUUGGGAGGACCAUAGAGACGUUGGGAGGUCCAUAGACACGUUGACCAUAGAGAGGUUGGGAGGACCACGGAGACAUUGGCCAUAGAGAUGUUGACCAUAGAGACAUUGGGUUGACCAUAGAGACGUUGGGCUGACCAUAGAGAUGUUGGGAGGACCAUAGAGAGGUUGGGAGGACCACAGAGACGAUGACCAUAGAGUUGCUGACCAUAGAGACGUUGGGAGGACCAUAGAGACUUUGGGUUGGCCAUAGAGAGGUUGGGAGGACCAUAGAGAGGUUGGGAGGACCAUAGAGAGGUUGGGAGGACCAUAUAGACCUUGGGUUGACCAUAGAGACCUUGGGAGGACCAUAGAGAGGUUGGGAUGACCAUAGAGACUUUGGGUUGGCCAUAGAGACCUUGGGAGGACCAUAGAGAGGUUGGGAGGACCAUAGAGAGGUUGGGAGGACCAUAGAGACCUUGGGUUGACCAUAGAGACCUUGGGAGGACCAUAGAGAGGUUGGGAUGACCAUAGAGACUUUGGGUUGGCCAUAGAGACCUUGGGAGGACCAUAGAG